rnacentral:misc_RNA from 1 species
AUAUAGAUAAACAGCAGCAGCACAAGUUCAAAAUUCACCAAACAGAUUCACUAAAUCAGACUCAACAAACUAGAAAAGCAGUCUUCACCAACAAAAUUUCACAAAAGCAUAAAUGAGACGAAGAUUAGAGUGGCAGCUCUUUUACUAAAUAAAAUCAUGAUUUAGGCAGCACUAGUUGGCUUAGUGGCAGCAGAAAGCCUGGAUCGCUUUUUGGCCAAACUCUCGCUCCUGCGGUCCCUCUGCUCCUUAAGCCUGGUAGCAAGGAGCUUGUGGUACUCCACAGCUUCAGCUUUAGCCUUGACAGAUCUCCUCUUCUUCUCAGCAAUUCUCGAGCGCUUCCUCUGCAGUGUCAGGGGGGUCACCAGCCUCUGAAUCUUUGGUGCCUUACUGUUCUUCUUACCAGCUUUAGUGGUGAAAGUCCGGCGAUAGGUAUUGACAUACUUGCGCACAUCAUCUUCCUUGGUGAGGUUGAACAGCUUCCGGAUUUUGGAAGCCCUCUUCGGUCCCCUCAUUCUGGGCUUCUCAACAUCAGUAAGACCAGGAAGAUCAUUAUCACCUUUCUUGACAAUGACCAAGUUGAUGACUGACAGGUCAGGACUGACAAUGCACCCACGAACAGAUUUCCUCCUGCGCUCUCCAUUGCGCCUACCAAAUCCACGGAAACAAGGAGUUCCUCUGUGUAGCAGAAGUCUCACACGGCCAGGAGUAAGAACACCCUGCUUCAUUGGGAAGCCUUGCUUGUCACAUCCUCCCAUGAUUUUGAAAACAUAUCCCUUGAACUCCUCUCCUAGAGCAUCACCAUUGACUUCCUGGGAGAUACGCUUGUCAUAAAAAGCCCGAAGCUUCG